rnacentral:rRNA from 1 species
GACGGAGGAGGCUAGCGUUGUUCAAAAUCACUGGGCUUAAAGAGCGUGUAGGCGGACCGGUAAGUACUGUGUGAAAGCCCCCGGCUCAACCGGGGAAUUGCUCGGUAAACUAUCGGUCUUGAGGCAGGUAGGGGCGAGUGGAACUCUAGGUGGAGCGGUGAAAUGCGUAGAGAUCUAGAGGAACGCCGGUGGCGAAAGCGGCUCGCUGGGCCUGUCCUGACGCUGAGACGCGAAAGCGUAGGGAGCGAACGGGAUUAGAUACCCCCGUA